AAGUCGAACGGAAACGAUGGGAGCUUGCUCCCAGGCGUCGAGUGGCGGACGGGUGAGUAAUACUUAGGAAUCUGCCCAAUAGUGGGGGACAACUCGGGGAAACUCGAGCUAAUACCGCAUACGCCCUACGGGGGAAAGCGGGGAAUCUUCGGACCUCGCGCUAUUGGAUGAGCCUAAGUCGGAUUAGCUUGUUGGUGGGGUAAAGGCCUACCAAGGCGACGAUCCGUAGCUGGUCUGAGAGGAUGAUCAGCCACACUGGGACUGAGACACGGCCCAGACUCCUACGGGAGGCAGCAGUAGGGAAUAUUGGACAAUGGGCGAAAGCCUGAUCCAGCAAUGCCGCGUGUGUGAAGAAGGCCUGCGGGUUGUAAAGCACUUUCAGUAGAGAAGAAAAGCUUAGGGAUAAUACCCCUGAGUCUUGACGUAACCUACAGAAGAAGCACCGGCUAACUCCGUGCCGGCAGCCGCGGUAAUACGGAGGGUGCGAGCGUUAAUCGGAAUUACUGGGCGUAAAGCGCGCGUAGGCGGCUUGGUAAGUCGGAUGUGAAAGCCCUGGGCUUAACCUGGGAACUGCAUUCGAUACUGCUGAGCUAGAGUAUGGUAGA
rnacentral:rRNA from 1 species